rnacentral:rRNA from 1 species
GGCUAAAACAAUUUACCGAAGCUGUGGAUACCUUUAUAGGUAUGGUAGGAGAGCGUUCUAUGUGUGAAGAAGGUAUACCGUGAGGAGUGCUGGAACGCAUAGAAGUGAGAAUGCCGGUAUGAGUAGCGAAAGACAGGUGAGAAUCCUGUCCACCGUAAGACUAAGGUUUCCAGGGGAAGGCUCGUCCGCCCUGGGUUAGUCGGGACCUAAGGAGAGACCGAAAGGUGUAUCCGAUGGACAACAGGUUGAUAUUCCUGUACUAGAGUAUGUAGUGAUGGAGGGACGCAGUAGGCUAACUAAAGCAGACGAAUGGAAGUGUCUGUCUAAGCAGUGAGGUGUGAUAUGAGUCAAAUGCUUAUAUCUAUAACAUUGAGCUGUGAUGGGGAGCGAAGUUUAGUAGCGAAGUUAGUGACGUCACACUGCCAAGAAAAGCUUCUAGCGUUUAAACAUACUCUACCCGUACCGCAAACCGACACAGGUAGUCGAGGCGAGUAGCCUCAGGUGAGCGAGAGAACUCUCGUUAAGGAACUCGGCAAAAUGACCCCGUAACUUCGGGAGAAGGGGUGCUGACUUUACGUCAGCCGCAGUGAAUAGGCCCAAGCAACUGUUUAUCAAAAACACAGCUCUCUGCUAAAUCGUAAGAUGAUGUAUAGGGGGUGACGCCUGCCCGGUGCUGGAAGGUUAAGAGGAGUGCUUAGCAAUAGCGAAGGUAUGAAUUGAAGCCCCAGUAAACGGCGGCCGUAACUAUAACGGUCCUAAGGUAGCGAAAUUCCUUGUCGGGUAAGUUCCGACCCGCACGAAAGGCGUAAUGAUUUGGGCACUGUCUCAACGAGAGACUCGGUGAAAUUUUAGUACCUGUGAAGAUGCAGGUUACCCGCGACAGGACGGAAAGACCCCAUGGAGCUUUACUGCAGUUUGAUAUUGAGUGGCUGUGCCACAUGUACAGGAUAGGUAGGAGCCAAAGAGAUCGGGACGCCAGUUUCGAUGGAGGCGAUGUUGGGAUACUACCCUUGUGUUAUGGCUACUCUAACCCAGAUAGGUUAUCCCUAUCGGAGACAGUGUCUGACUGGAAGUUUGACUGGGGCGGUCGCCUCCUAAAAGGUAUCGGUGGCGCCCAAAGGUUCCCUCAGAAUGGUUGGAAAUCAUUCGCAGACUGUAAAGGUAUAAGGGAGCUUGACUGCGAGAGCUACAACU